GUGGGGAAUAUUGGGCAAUGGAUGCAAGUCUGACCCAGCCAUCCCGCGUGCCGGAAGAAGGCCCUCAGGGUUGUAAACGGCUUUUGACGGUGAAGAAUCGACAGGAUGCGUCCUGUUUUGACGGUAGCCGUUGAAUAAGCACCGGCUAACUCCGUGCCAGCAGCCGCGGUAAUACGGAGGGUGCGAGCGUUGUCCGGAUUUAUUGGGUUUAAAGGGUGCGUAGGCUGGAAGGUCAGUCAGCGGUGAAAAGCUGUCGCUUAACGAUAGUCUUGACGCAGAUACUUCCUUUCUUGGAUGAGGAAGAGGCCACUGGAACGGAUGGUGUAGGGGUGAAAUGCAUAGAUAUCAUCCAGAACACCGAUUGCGAAGGCAGGUGGCUGUACCUUAAUCGACGCUGAUGCACGAAAGCAUGGGGAGCAAACAGGAUUAGAAACCCGGGUAGUCC
rnacentral:rRNA from 1 species